rnacentral:lncRNA from 1 species
GGGUGCAGGAAAAAGGCAUUAGCACGCCUCAGGACUUGUUCCGCAAGCUCAGACACUCCUGAUGGACAGAGGAAGUUGGCAGUGAGCACCCAGUCUCUGGCCAGUGGCUCAGCAGCAGCAGCAGCUAGUCAGGGCGGUGGGCAGCUGCUCAGCCCAAAAGAAGAGGCCUACUCAAAGCGCCCCCACACUUGCUGAGCUGGACAGCUCUGGAUCAGAGGUACUUUAUCAGUAUUGAUUGUUUUCACAUUU